UCCUGGGAGUCCGGAGCCCGCACCCUGGGCCUGGCCUCCAGGUGAGGCCGGGCAGCCUUGCCUGGCUCUGGAAGAGGAGGCGUCCGGGCGGCAGCUCCCUGGGCGAGGCCAGGCCUGGGGGACGGGUGGGUCCACUAGCUGCAGCCCCCAGCAAACGACAAAGCCACACCUCUCUUACCUGGAACAGGAACGAGCCGGCUUCUCCCACUGCAGGGGGCAGGCCAGCACUGUCCCACCAGCGAAGGAACAGAGGGGCCCGGGCAGGGCCCCGCCCCAGGGGCUGCCGGGGAGCUUGACGGUGCCUGUGAUGCGGCGAGGACGUGCCAACAUGGACCAACUCCCUAAUCGUUAACAAAACAAAACAAACCCAACUGCUCAGGAAGGAGUUUGCAAACGGUACCUGCCACCUGCUGAGCCCUGGGGCCACCGCUCGGAGCUGCCACACUUUCGUCCCCCACCCCAGCUCCCUGGCUCCUGUCACUGCAGCUGCGGGGCCUGGGAGAGCCGCCCCUGUGGCCAGGGCCUCUCUGCCUCUGAGGUUCGCUGGACCAUGACGCCCAGUCUUCGCUCCAGCUGGCCUUCUGGGCCUCCCACACUCCUCUCCCCGGGGGCUGGAGCAUCUCCCAGAGGCUGGUGGCCAGGCACCCGACAGGACCCUCUAGGUGGGAGCCUGAUGCCUGGGCCCGGUCCAGCCAUGGCAGAGCAGCCUCAGGGGCCCCUCUCCAGGCCGCCUGACCUCUCCCGCAGCACCACCCGCUGGCCCUAUGGCCCCUGCCUGGCCCAGAGCGGCUGUGCCAGCCUCUCUGCAGAGACCACGGCCAGUACCUGCUUGGUCAGCCCCGUGGCUUCUCUGGCCUGUGCCACCUGCCACCCCAAGCUGGGUCAGUUCCUGCUCCAGGAUGCCCAGGCCACGGCCCUCUAACCCAACAAGUAAGAGGGUCACUUUCCUAUUUGAGAAAGUCCCCACCGCUGCUUCCUGCCUGGCUAUAUAUCAUUGCAACAGCCAUCCAUCACAUUAUUAUCAGUGGUAAUAUUACUGCUAAGCCCCCAGAGUAAUUGUGACAUGCACUGAAAUUUGGGAACUAAUGCUCAGUGGUGUCCCUACCCUCACCCAGGACCGGUGACAUAUUUGCGGGUCCCGUGCAAAAUGAAAACGGGAAGCCCCUUGUUUGAAAAUUAAGAAUUUCAGGAUGGCAAGAGCAGAGCCUUAAGCCAAGUUGAGAGCCCUUCCAAGCGGGGGCUCUGGCAGCCACAGCUCACGCUGCCCCCCACUCAUUCUGAGCCCCUACGGGUCCCAUCUUCCAGCCGCCUCCUCCCCCCACCGCCAUUCUCAGCAGGGGGUUCCGAGGACUCGCGAAAGGUGGGGUGUCUCCAGUCACAUGACGACACCCUUGGUUGUUGCCAUUGGUUGGCUGCGGCCGUGUUUUCACAGCCAACGAGGGGAAAGAGAGGGAGGCGUGGGCGUGGCCCGGCGCGGAGGGGCGCUGGAGGGCAGGGUGGAGACCAGCGCCCCUGGGCUGCUAGGACCGGUGCCCGCCCCACGUGCCUACCGGGGAAUAAAUUUACCGUUGUUUGUCCUCUAUUUCAUUUCCUCUCUCACCACAGUAGACGGUCCCCAACGAUCCUAUCUUAUCUUUUAUGACUCAGUGCAGAUGUGAGAAGGCCUUUCCUGUGCUUUGGACAUUAUGUACAAGUAAAAGGCAAUAUAAUGUAGCUUAAGAGGUAGACACGGGAGACGUCUCACCCACCCACCUUAAAAUUGGGAACAGAAAACAUACAACUCAGUUGAAUAAAUCUGCAAUGUUUGUGACCUAAAUUAAUGCAUUCAACAGCACUCUUUCAAGUACAAUGUUUUACGUAUAAAGAUCAGUAAAGGUGAGUCGGGGAGGGCUUCCCUGGUGGCGCAGUGGUUGA